rnacentral:lncRNA from 1 species
UGGUCUAAUUGCAGCAUAAUCAUCUUCUUGUAAGGUGGGAACAGCACCAGGUGGAAGUGGUGGUCUCAUCAUUGGGGGAGGUCCAAAAGGUGGCCUUGGAAUUAGAGGGACCAUGAUUCCAGGGGGAGCAGCUUGGCUGGGAAGUCCAGGAGGUGGAGGUGGGGGUGGAGGGAAACGUGAAAUUCCAGGGGAUAAUACAUCAGGCUGCAAAGUUGGGAUCAGGCCAGGUCUAGGCACCGGAGGCUGUUGCCGUGGAGGAGGAGGAGGAGGAGGGACCAUAGGGAUCUCCUUGGUGCCUGAAGGAUUAUUGAUGUCAGAUUCAGGUAGUGUGCCUUCAGUCUGAUUGCUUACCAACUUCAGCGGCAGGCCAGGUGGUGGGGGAGGUGGAGGGAGCACUGUUGGGACCUACAUGAGAGAGAGAGAAAGAGAGAGAGAAGUUAUUGCUAUUUUUUUAGGCAGUAAUUUGUAAUGUCUUAUGUUUUGGGGUCUGGACCAGACAAGCAAAUACAUAUUUUUUCCUCACAAAGGCAACCAAUUAUACUCAUUUAAUUUCUUACAAGUACUUGCAUGUGUCAUCCCAUCUGAUCCAAGGAAUUCUUCUUUUACAAUCCAACUCUUUAAACCAGAACAUUUAUCAUGUUCACUAUUAAUAUCAUCCUGAGAAAGGGAAUGAUGAAUAGCUUACCUGAACUGGCUCCUUGGAGGUUUGAUCAUCAGAUGUUGCAGAUUGAGUCUUCUCCCCUUCCAUCCUGCCAAUACCAGGUGGAGGUGGCUGAGAAGACUGUUGGAUGAGUGGAGGCGGAGGAAGUGAAGGGUGAGUUGUGACCUGUUCUUUAGGUGGGGGACCAGGAGGUGGAGGUGGCAAAGGUGGUGGAGGCAAUGCACCCAAGUCUGCCAUAGCAGGCUUUGGCGGCAUUGGAGGUGGAGGAGGUAGAGGCAAGGAAGCAGGCAUAACAGAGCUAUCUCCAGGUUCCAGAUGACCAGUAUCUGGCAAUGGGGGAGGUGGUGGAGGUGGAGGGGGUACAACUAAAUCAGCAUCCUCUGAAUCUGUCAUUGAGGAUGAAGCAGCACCACUCGAUGAAGCUGCUGAUAAGGGAAUCCUGGGUCCUGCAGUCCAAAGCCAAAAACUC